rnacentral:rRNA from 1 species
AUUGAACGCUGCCGGCAGGCCUAACACAUGCAAGUAGAACGAGUGGCGGACGGGUGAGUAAUGUCUGGGAAACUGCCUGAUGGAGGGGGAUAACUACUGGAAACGGUAGCUAAUACCGCAUACCAUCGGAUGUGCCCAGUUGGGAUUAGCUAGUAGGUGGGGUAAAGGCUCACCUAGGCGACGAUCCCUAGCUGGUCUGAGCGGAUGACCAGCCAAGCUGGACUUGAGACACGGUCCAUACUCCUACGGGAGGCAGCAGUGGGGAAUAUUGCACAAGGGGCGCAAGCCUUAUGCAGCCAUGCCGCGUGUAUGUAGAAUGCCUUCGGGUUGUAACGUACUUUCAGCGGGGAUGCGUUACCCGCAGAGGGAGCGCCGGCUAACUCCUUGGCAGCAGCCGCGGUAAUAC